GGUAGCUGGAAUGCUACUGGAAUCAGUCUCCCUCUUCUGCAAAACCAACAGUGAAAAUACAAAGUAUAAUCUUUCCUUUUAUAUAAUAAACAAGCUUAAACCCAUGAAAUUGAUAAAAAUCUAAAUAUUACUAUCGAUUCCUUCUUCCAAAUCAUAAUAACCCUCAAGAAAAUGUGCGAUGGAUUGGUUUAGCUUUCAAUCCAUCAAUACAUGUCAACAAAGGCGAUAUCAUUGAGAAAUCUUACCUACAUCUCAACUCAGUUUUGGGCAUUUUCAUUUCAUGUGUAUCCUUACCACUUCUCUUACCAAGAAUCAUUUAAAGCCGUUGCCGUAGAUUUUGAUAGGGCAAGAAUUUUCCUAUUAAUCAUAGUUCUUUGUUUUGAGAAGGGCUUUCAGCUAAUGAAAAAAAACCUCAUGAAAAGGAAAGAGAAGUCAAUAGAAGUCAAUGCUUAUGGAGACUGAUUAGAUUCAAAUAAAGGGAAAAGCCCAAAAAUUAAAAUGUGAGUUAAGGAAAAAAUGAUAGGGGGAAGUAAAAAUUCGGAGAGAAAUAUUAAUUUAUCCAAAAAAAAAUAAAGAUGAAAUGAAGCCAGCAAAGCAGUGGGCACUUGCCUCAAUAGAUGGAAAAAAAAAAAAACAAAAACGAAACAAAAAAAGGCAAACUCUUGGCCAGGACAAUACGCU
rnacentral:misc_RNA from 1 species